rnacentral:rRNA from 1 species
UACGAAGGGGGCUAGCGCUGCUCGGAAUCACUGGGCGUAAAGGGUGCGUAGGCGGGUCUUUAAGUCAGGGGUGAAAUCCUGGAGCUCAACUCCAGAACUGCCUUUGAUACUGAAGAUCUUGAGUUCGGGAGAGGUGAGUGGAACUGCGAGUGUAGAGGUGAAAUUCGUAGAUAUUCGCAAGAACACCAGUGGCGAAGGCGGACUUACUGGUCCGGUUCUGACGCUGAGGAGCGAAAGCGUGGGGAGCAAACAGG